rnacentral:rRNA from 1 species
GAUCCUGGCUUACGAUGAACGCUAGCGGCAGGCUUAACACAUGCAAGUCGAGGGCAUCGGGAGUAGCAAUACUGCCGGCGACCGGCGCAAGGGUGCGUAACGCGUGAGCAACAUGCCCGUAUCAGGGGGAUAAUCCAUGGAAACGUGGUCUAAUACCCCAUAGUAAUUAUGUAAGGCAUCUUAUAUAAUUUAAAGCUUUGGUGGAUACGGAUUGGCUCGCGUGACAUUAGCUAGAUGGUAAGGUAACGGCUUACCAUGGCUACGAUGUCUAGGGGUUCUGAGAGGAAGGUCCCCCACACUGGAACUGAGACACGGUCCAGACUCCUACGGGAGGCAGCAGUGAGGAAUAUUGGACAAUGGAUGGAAAUCUGAUCCAGCCAUGCCGCGUGCCAGGAAGACGGCCCUAUGGGUUGUAAACUGCUUUUGUAUGGGAGCAAUAAGGGCUACGCGUAGUCCGAUGAGAGUACCAUACGAAUAAGCACCGGCUAACUCCGUGCCAGCCGCCGC